UUGGAGGGCAAGUCUGGUGCCAGCAGCCGCGGUAAUUCCAGCUCCAAUAGCGUAUAUUAAAGUUGUUGCAGUUAAAAAGCUCGUAGUUGAAUUUCGGGGUUCAUCCGUUGGUCGGGCUUUUUGGUCUGUACUGGCGUGAUGGAUUCCUACCUUCUGAAUAACCAGCAUGUCAUUAAUUUGGUGCGCUGGGGAAGCAGGACUGUUACCUUGAAAAAAUUAGAGUGCUUAAAGCAGGCUAUCGCCUGAAUACAUUAGCAUGGAAUAAUGAAAUAGGACGGCAUGGUUCUAUUUUGUUGGUUUCUAGGAUCACCGUAAUGAUUAAUAGGGAUAGUUGGGGGCAUUAGUAUUCAAUUGUCAGAGGUGAAAUUCUUGGAUUUAUUGAAGACUAACUUCUGCGAAAGCAUUUGCCAAGGAUGUUUUCAUUAAUCAAGAACGAAAGUUAGGGGAUCGAAGACGAUCAGAUACCGUCGUAGUCUUAACCAUAAACUAUGCCGACUAGGGAUCGGACGAUGUUAAAUUUUAUUGACUCGUUCGGCGCCUUACGGGAAAC
rnacentral:rRNA from 1 species